AAACAAUCUCCUGUACGCAAAGAAACGUUGGGGGAAGCUAAAGAACGUUUACUGCAGGAACAACACUCUCAUGUUUUGAAGUCUCUGGGCAUUAUUAGGGUUAAUACUGAAGUUAACCCUAAAGAAGAAUGUNAAGCCACUAUCUUUACAAAUGAUAAGGUUGUCAAGGAGGAAAAGAUAGAAGAAGAAGAGCUAGAGAUGCAUGAAGAGGAAACAAAAACAGAAAAAGUUGUUG
rnacentral:lncRNA from 1 species